AUAACCCUCACCCUUGGCCUCGUGGAACUCCAGCUCGGCGUCCCACCCGCACGCCUUGAUCCCCUCCGCGUACGCGCGCACCCUCUCCACGAACUAGCAGUGCUCCGUUGUGUUGACCAGCACACAACCGCUCCCAAGCUGCCUCCACUCCCCCGGAGGGCCACCUGGUUGAUGUACGGGCGGUCAAAGCCGAACUUGCCACUGCAGAUGACCUCCCAUGCGCGAUCGAAGCCGCCGCGGUACCCAGCGUCGGUGGGCUUCCCGCCCACCAGCUCUUUCCCCAGAAGUAAGGGUUCAGGAGUGCCAAACUGCUGA
rnacentral:rRNA from 1 species